AUCUUAUAUUUUUGCUUUUUCUGUUAAUCAUCUUCCCAGUUUAACAAUCAGCUCUUUGAGUGAUAGACUAAAUGGCUUACAUCUCUUCUACCCUUCACACAGCCUUACACAUAGUAGGCUCUCCAAUGGUUGCUUAUUUAAGACAUUUCAAAGCUUCAAACACAAAAAUUAUUCCAUUUCUUCCUUGAACUGCUCCAAAUUCCACAAGCUUCUCUUGCCUUCAUCAUUUCUGGGCUGAGAGUCAGAUUAACCCACCCUUGUCAGGUUGGAAAUAAAAGAACACAAUGACAGUGUUUUAAGGGUUCUGUAUCCAAAGAGACAAACCCAAAGACUACACAGAGCUAUUAUCCUCAGCUGUGAACUGCACACUUUAGGAGGGACAUAGGCAGAUCAGAGCUGCCCAGUGAAGGGUGGCCAGAGGGAGAAAGGUCUGAAAACCUGACUAUGAAGAAGGCUGAAAGACACAGAGAUGUUUAGUUUGAAGAAAGCUUUGUUUGGAGCACAUGCCCAAGCAUUUGAAAAGCUGGCCUGGAAAGAAGGAUCAUGCUAAGUCUAAUGGAGGGACACCAGAGCCUUAACUUCCCAAGCUGUUACCAACGGAGUAAUAGGUACCUAUCAAGAAGAGAGCUGCAUGGGUGAAUAAAUUUGGAAAAUGCCACAAAGGCAAUCCCUCUCUGAGAUGCACAAAGAACUUUAGCAUACAAAAGAUUCUGAGAAAAUCUCUAAUUAAGAAAAAAAAACUUUGUUAGAAUUUACUUACUAUACCUACUAUGUACGUGACUCUCUCUUUUAUUUCCCCAUAUGAUGCCUAUUAGCACCCCGUACACAGAACAUUAAGAAACGAUGCCCUAAGAAACAGGACAAGGACCGAUUUUCAGACAUUAUCACAAGGCAGAUUUUAAUAAUACAUGUAUUUCCCACCAUUCAGGCUGACCAAAGACAGAAUGGGCUGCCUUGUAAGGUUGGGAGAGCUUUGCCACUGAAGUUGUUCAAAACCUCACGCCAAAUGCUGUGAAAAGUUAUCGUCAGGCAGAACUCAGGGAUAUCGUAGGUUUGGCAGGCCUGCCACAAACCUUCAAUACGUGAAAAACACCAUUAUCUGCAAAGUGCAAUAAAGCAAGCAUAAAACAAUAAAACAAGGUAUGCGUGUAGCAGGCCCCAGAUUCUGUGAUUCUGUGAUAAUUAGCAGGAAAGAAAUUCCAUGUUGGGGUGCCAUGCUCAGUUGGUCUUCCAUCUGGAAUCAGGGGUCUACACUUCCUCAGAAAUAACUGGUCCUAUUAUUCUUGUAUUCAAAUUACACUUACAGCAUUAUAAUUAUUUAUAAACAUACUUAACCCCCUAGACAAUAACUCUCAGCCCAGAGAACAAAGUCCACCUGCUCCUCAGCUGUGUAGUGGAAAUGAUAACAGUGCUUGAGCCAAAGAGUUAUUAUAAAUAUUAAAUGAGUUAUUUCAUGUAAAUCGCUUUGAACAGUUUGGCACUGCUCAAUAGAUUUAGCAAGUAUUUCCACAAUUAUAUUUGUUACAGCAGGAAGAACUCUGAGAAAUCCUGCACUAGAUAGUAAACUCUUUGGGAUCACAGACUAUUUCUUAUCCUUUUUCAUUUUCAUCACCUACUACUAUCCUAGAUACAGAGGAGGCAUUUUAUAAGGGCCCAUAAAAUGGGUGGAAGGAUGGAUGGACAGACAGAUGGAUGGAGAAGGAAGGAGGAAGAGAGUAAGGAAGAGAGGGAGGAAGAGAGGGAGAGAUGGGUGCAUACAUGAAUGAGUGAGUAGAAUGAUCUUGUCCCCAUUUUGGUAGUUCUCAGGGGUGUCUGCAUGGGCUCGGCCCAUCAACAUUUCUCUCCAUGCCCACUGCACAGCUGCUGGCCUCCCAUAAAGGGGUUCCUCUCUCCUCCUCUUUGUAGGGUAACUGUAGUUUUUGAGCAAGGUUCUCAAGUUUUCCAAUGAAAUACCCCUAUUCCAUGCAGGAGAAUGAUCAGAACCUCCUCCACCACCUGCAUUCUGAGGGUGUGAUCCAAGGUGACCUAAGGCCCAGUAUUUUUUUCUAGGUCUGAUUUUUAUCUAAAAUACAGCAAAUUCUACAUUUUAUAUCCUAAUAGAUCUUUUUACUUUCUAAAAAUGUUGUAAAUGUUUAGCAACACAUAAAACUGAUGGUCCACAAAGUGUUGUGUUCAUUUUGUGGCUUCCAGCCCCUCUGACAUUCUGAUAUGUCCCUUCAAGAAGCACAGAUCCCUCCAGUUCCAGAAACCUAACAAACUUCCCUGGGCCUCAUCACCCACAUCCAUUUGAUACAUUUUGUUGGUUCUGUGUAUAGACUCACAGCCUGGAAUUUGAGGCUUCAGAUCCAUUUCUGUUCUUCCCAAUAAUAAAUCUCUAGUAACAUUCUGGAAGGCAAGGAAUUUAUGACAUUUAUCGAUGUAUUUGCCUUGAGGCAUACAGGGAGAAGACACAAACAUGGAGUCUAAGGAUUUUCUGUUUGACAAAGAAAUAUGAUUUUUAAAGUAAAAGUUCUCAACUUGAAUAACAUGGCCCAGAAGGCCAAUUAGCAUAAAAGGUCUUUAGAGGCUUUUAAAGGCUAGAUUACACAGGAGAUAAAUGUUUAAACUGCUCUAAGCCCAUUAGAUUUUUUAGUUCACAGAGGUGUGUUAUAAUUUUAAAACACAGGCCAGGCCUUCAACCUGAUAAGAGUCUUCUGUUCAAAGUUUAUCUAAAAAGUUUCUCCUAAUGAGCUUUGCUGUUUCACAUGCCAUACCUUCUGCACCUGUAUCAACUAAUCCUCUGAUCUACCCAGAGUUCCUUCUGUAUUGGAAUUCCUGCAUGAAAAGUAGGAUUUCACUCACGAGAACUGAAUAAAAAAGCCAGAGCCUAAAGAAAUCUUCAACUUAAUUGAAGAAUGCAGAAAAUAUUUUUUAGAGGAAAAAAAAUGUCUAUGUUCUGAUGCUCUUUUAUCUGGAAUAUAGAUAGCAAUUUCCCUUCUCCACCCUCCACAGGAAAGACUGGGCUCUUCAGCUCUAUACCCCAAGCCCAGCUCCUAAGACCACAACCUGAGCCAAGGGCCUAUAUGGCCCACUCAGCCAGAAGGGAAGAUGGCAAACGGACCUUCCAACUGAGGUUGGAUGUAAGGAGUCAUCUUCCCCAGUAUUUCUUUCAUCAAGGCCAUGACUAAGGGCAUGAUCUGGGAACUUCUGCUUCUAACCAAGAUGGAGUAACAGGGGCUGUAUGUACCUGCACUCCUGAAACAAUUUUAGAAAAAUAAAAAAUAUAUAUAUAAACCACGGUUUACAAGAGGCUCCACUAGGCAACAAAGAAAGUGAUCCCUUAAAGACAGGAAACAAAAAAGAAAUGAACCCAGGGAAGCCUGAUGGGUUCUCUGUAUUGAAAAAAAAAAGUAGCAGAAAAGUAGCAGAAGAAGACCAUGCAGCUAGAAUUUACCUGAAAUGCAUGCAAGGAAGAAUAUCAGAGAGGAGAGAACUGCACAGGUUGAGAGGGAGGGAGAGAGAGCUCUGAUAAUGUUCCCUUUGAGUAAUUAGGAGAAUACUGAUCAGAGCAUGUGUGUGAGGGAUUACAUGAAAAAGUUAAAGGAAACAGUACCUAGAACAUGUGCAGGCCCAGGAUUAGUGUGUGUUUCUGCUAAUCAGAUGAGAAAACAUUAUAAAUUCAUGAGCGAUGUGGUAGAGAUUCAAAAGUACCAUGCAUCAGUAAUGAGGAAUAAUUAACUCUGAAAUAAAGACAGUUCUGUCUCUGCCCAACAAUUCUCAAAAGCAAACCCUGAAAGGAUUAAACUGUUCCAAGCAAAGUUCACUGCAUCCCAGAACAAAGCUCAAGAAUCUUUAUAAAACUAUAAAAAUAUCCAGCA
rnacentral:lncRNA from 1 species